AUAAAGUUUGUUUUUAUUACCGUGUGACUUUAAAACGUAAAGUUAAAAAAGAAAAAAAAGUGCGCGGGAAAAUUGUUUGUUUUUUUUUUCAAAUUAAAAGAGGAAUGGUACUGGAGGUUUGGUCCGCAUUCCUGAAGGAACCUUUUACUUUGGUUACGACAGAUGAACGGCAGACGGGCCCUAAAAUGUGGGAUUAUUGCAUUCCCCAUCUUUGCAGGAAGUUCCUACCAUUACCACAAAGGGGUUUGCGGAAUUUUUUUUCCAGAAGGCAGCAGAAUUCCAGGUUUGCCAUCGCCGUUAAUUCUCACCGGUAGAGAAGAACAAGGCGGCUGGAAGCGUACCAUUGCUGGCCGGAGUCUGAUAAGGCUUAAAAAGAUGCGUUGGACAGCAUUGGACUAGCCAGCUCGAAGAUCGCACACUAGCAAUUCCACUGCGCAGAACGGUUCUCUCCUGAAGCAGGCAAUACGAGUGAGCUCAUCGUUUUCAUGCAUGUACCUAGCAGUUCCAAGAAGAAUAAAUGAAAAACGACGAAAUAAAUAAAAUUACAAAGUUUUAA